GUCUUUCCACAAAGGCUCGUUUUGCUAUUAGCCCAGUGAACGUAGGUUUUCCACUUUGAUCUGUACUGUGUGUGGUUUUGGCAUGAUUCUUAAAUGGACUGAUUAAACAACUGCUGCUAACAGCUUCCCCUGCCUUCAGCAGUCAGCUCCCAUUAUUCAGGGGCUUUCCAUAGCAAAAGGGAAGAGACAGCACUGGUACAAAGUGCUUACAUUAAAGGUCAGAAGAAAUGUCAGAAAACUCUUUCCCUUCCCUCUCGGUCCAGAAACAUUGCAGUAACUCAGUCACUAGAUAGGCAAUGUUGGAUUGUUCAUAGUGUGAGUGUUUUCAGCAAAAGGGAUGGAUGCCUGUAUGCUGAUGCUUAGCCAGAUUGUCUAGAUGAGAAAUCACUGAGCUGAGACUGGCUUGGUAAUUUACAUCUAGUUCUGUGUUUUAUAUAUCAAAGUCUGUGUUUUGCAGUUUACACUCUGAAUCUUUAAAUGAAGAAAUAAAUUAAAUUUCUCAGAUGAGUGAGAAUGGUGCAUUUAGAGGGAGAGGGAGAACACGCUGAGACUUGGGAGCUGCUCAGGGAGGAGACCCAAUAUUCAAGCUCCCCUUUUCUGGCGUGAAGCAUCUUGCUUUUCUUUCUGAAGUGUUCCAGGUCCCCAGGAAAUAUGGAAACUGCUCCCUUCCUGAGCCUCCUUCAGCCUACUGAAGAUGGAUUGGGCAUUUGGUCAAACCCAUCAGGUGCUCAUCAGCCCUGGGAAAUGUCACUUGUCCUCAGCUCUCAGAUGAGGCCCAGGAAGGAUGAAAUUAGAAAAGUCAGAAGUGAGGUGGAACUGCUGUGGGAGUGAAGGCUAAGAAUAAGGAUUGCUAUAGGAAAGUUACAGAGCAAAUCUUCCAGGGAGCCAUUUCCAAGGACAUUAAGGAAGCGCUGAAUAUAGGGACCAGAUCUCCAUUGACUAUCACGGCAAUUUGAGUCCUAAAUGUUCUGGCUUAAGGUUGAGCUGACUUCUACUGUACCUCCAAGAAAGCGGAUGAUUUUGCUAUGUUCCUGGGAGGAACAAAAGCCUUUGGUAGGACAAAAAACAAACUUUGCUCUGUUUGGUCUCAUGGGCCCAACUUAAAUUCUGAGUGUACAUAAUCCCUCCUAGAAGGAUGGGAAAUAGAAGCAAAAUGUCUUCUCCAAGUCUACGCAAAAACCUAUGGGAGCCAGCAGAGCUGGUGCUGACAAUGAAUGAUGUAUGGGUCUGAGAAAUCCUGCUGGAUUAUUAGAUGUCCUGCCAUUCAGCUGAGCAGAGGCUCUGGAUCCUGGUCUGUAUGGGAUUUGUUAGCAGUGGCUGUAUGAUUACCAUGCUGAAGUGGAAUGGAAUAAUCCCUUCCGCAAACGAACACCAAAUGGGAUUGAUGCCGUGGGUUGAUAACCUGUUGCACAGGAGUAGCACCUUAAAUUGCACGGGUGGAAAUCCUAUGUGUCAGAGGACAUUUGAAGGCUGAUUCCACAAAUGUUUGCAAAUGUAGAUCUUAGCUUCACUCCUGUGGUUUGUCACAGUGAAGUUACACUGAAGUUAAACUUCAGUCUGUGAGAUCUUGUGGGUCCCAAAUUUGCAAGGAGCUGAACCCACCAGCUCCUGUUAGCUUAUCACCUGUGUUUCUGUCCUGAGAGAGUUAAAGCAAGAGAAGGGAGGAGAAAUGUGAAAUAGAGCACACUGAUUCACAACAGCACUUGAUCAUUACAGCAAAACCCAACCAAACCAAACCAACUAUGAAGUACCUGUAGCACUGAAAUCCAGCUGCCAAUGAUUUUGCUGUACAGAACAGUCUUUGGUACCCUUAGUUUGCUGUCAGUGCUAAAGCCAAAUGUGUACAUAAUGGAAUAGCUUUUUAAAAACCUGGCUUUUUUUGUCUUUCCAAGCCUAAAAAUGCUAUCCUGUGUCCAGAGGGAAAAAAAAAAAAAAACACAACUUGAGGUGACUUUUGUUUUAAGGCUGUUUUAAAUUUAUAACAGAGCUGGCUAAAAUGCUUUUCAUCAAAGUACAAAAGUUUCAUGCUGUAAUUAAUGGCAAGUGAUAUCUAACGCAAUAAAACACCAUCAUUUCAGUGUUCUUACAAGACUAUUUAUGACUGGAUAUUGAAACUGAUAAUGAUUCUGCCAUUUGUCCUCAUAAUUUAUUAUUCCAAGGAGAGGCAAGUGGUGGUAAGGGUUCACGAUCCGUUUUAUGGAAAGAGUGCUGAAUUCAGCUUUUUAUGGAUGUAAAUGACAAUGUUUGGUGCUGGGCAGAAAGUGUGUGUGUGACAGCGGGAGCAGACCCUGUUGAGGGGUCGAGGUGGGGAGCAUUAAUGGUCUUUCUGGGCGAGGGAAGCCCUUGGCCGUGUGAUCCAAUUGCAGCCAGCUAC
ensembl:lncRNA